UACGUAGGCAGCAAGCGUUGUUCGGAAUUACUGGGUGUAAAGAGUGUGUAGGCGGUGCUCUAAGUUCGGUGUGAAAUCUCCCGGCUCAACUGGGAGGGUGCGCCGGAAACUGGGGUGCUGGAGCGCGGGAGAGGAAAGCGGAAUUCCUGGUGUAGCGGUGAAAUGCGUAGAUAUCAGGAGGAACACCGGCGGUGUAGACGGCUUUCUGGACCGUAGCUGACGCUGAGACACGAAAGCGUGGGUAGCAAACAGG
rnacentral:rRNA from 1 species